AGGACCCCAUGACUUAGACCACAAAGCAUUACGAGCUAUAUGGAAUGAAAUUGCAGCGAUGGGUAAGUCAAUCGAAGCACGAAGCUGGAACCGAGCCGGACCAGUAGAGCGCCAGUCAGGAAAACCAGGUCCGAUGGGUAAACCGGCGGAGAGAACAGCUUUUAAGUCAGGUGGAAAAGCAAACCCAAACUCUGCUUCAGCUCUAG
rnacentral:misc_RNA from 1 species